rnacentral:rRNA from 1 species
GGGGUAUACCUCCCACCCUUUGUUUAUUAUACCUUUGUUGCUUUGGCGGGCCCGUCCUCGGACCACCGGCUUCGGCUGGUCAGUGCCCGCCAGAGGACCUAAAACUCUGUUUGUUCAUAUUGUCUGAGUACUAUAUAAUAGUUAAAACUUUCAACAACGGAUCUCUUGGUUCUGGCAUCGAUGAAGAACGCAGCGAAAUGCGAUAAGUAAUGUGAAUUGCAGAAUUCAGUGAAUCAUCGAAUCUUUGAACGCACAUUGCGCCCCCUGGUAUUCCGGGGGGCAUGCCUGUUCGAGCGUCAUUACAACCCUCAAGCUCUGCUUGGUAUUGGGCUCUGCCGGUCCCGGCAGGCCUUAAAAUCAGUGGCGGUGCCAUUCGGCUUCAAGCGUAGUAAUUCUUCUCGCUUUGGAGACCCGGGUGCGUGCUUGCCAGCAACCCCCAAUUUUUUCAGGUUGACCUCGGAUCAGGUAGGGAUACCCGCUGAACUUAAGCAUAUCAAUAAGCGGAGGGAAAAGAAACGUUGG